GGGAUCAGUCCUUGAGAUUUAAUACACAAAGGGUAUAUACGUGUAUGUGUGUGUGUGUGUGUGUGUGUGUGUGUGUGUGUGUGUAAGAGAGAAGUAACUGUUGGGCAUCUCUCCCCAGUUGUUGUCCACCUAGUUUACUUUUAAGUUUUGUUUUGUGUAUGGUGUUUGCACACCUGUGUAUAGACAGACGCAGGAGCACAGGCCAAAGGAGGGCAUUGGGUGUUACCCUCGGCUUUAUUCCUUUGAAACAAAGUCUCUCCCUGAACCUGAAGCUUUUUUUUUUUUUCAGCUAGACUGACAGCUUACGAGUCACAGCAGUCCUCCUGUUCCCGCUCCCCACAGACCUGCAGCUACAGGCCCACUGGAGACCAUGUCCAGCUUGCUACCUGGGUGCUGAGAUUUGAACCCAGGUCCUCAUGGUUGUGCUGCAAGGGCUCUCAGCCAUCUCUCAGUCCUCCAAGAGAAAAAUUUAAAAGCCUGUUUCCCUUUAUCUCUUUUAAUUAGUGUAUUAAAUAGUGUGUGUGUGUGUGUGUGUGUGUGUAUGUGUGUGUGUGUGUGAGCAUGCACACGCAAGUAUGAGUGUGAAAUUCAGAGGCCAGUUUUUGGAAGCCAGCUCUCUUCUACCAGCUUAUGUGGGUUCUGGGGAUCCCCACUCUCCCAUCUCUGCCUGCUGCCAGGACAACUUGACGAGAGGCACCAUGCCCGGCCAUUAAUCUGUUCUCUGUCACUAGUCCUUUGCCUGGGGGUACCCUGGGUGCCACAUUUGCACAUUGUGUACACUCCAUUUGUACACACACCACUGGAACCAGGAACAUUUGCUCAUGCUUGCUGGCCUUUUUUAAAAGGCAAACUCUUAAAGUAUGUUAUAAGCUAUGUGUGAUUUCCCUGAACAUUUCCAUGUGCGUGUGUCAGAUGUUAAGAGUGUGUUCCUUGGUGGCUUCUGUGCUGUAUCAGAGCAUAGAAAUGCCGCAAAUGCCAUGAGAUACCAGAUCCACAUCUGCAUUUCUUCAGUGUCCCCACAAAUAUCUCCUACAGCUGACUUGUCCAAAUCAGGACCAGAUAGAGAGCCUGGUAGUUACGGCUUUUAAGAUACUUUUAUUGACGAACAUGCCUGGCUCCUUUCCCUCCUUCUCCUUCUAUAUGAUAUCAGACACUGCCUUGUUAAGAUACCGGGCAGGUUGCCUGCUCCUGUGGGGUGGGUCUGCCUGUCUCCCGAGAUGUUUGACUCCUCCCAUCCAUCGCCCCCCUUCAGAGAGGCCUGAAGUUAGGGUUAAGAGCUUAAUUCUGUUCAGAAUGGCCACACGCCCCACUUCCUGGAACCUCCCAUUAAGAGGCAUAUCUUGUUUGCCCCUGCUGUUCUGACGAUGUCUAGAGUAAGAAGGUCCAGUCAGUGUCAAAUUACUUUUGCCAUUUGUUCUACUUGCAGCCGACACACAACACAGUGCAGGGGACAGGGCUUUGGUACCACCUGAAUAUCCAGUUCACCAAAGACAAGAUUUAACCAAUAGCAUUUGAGUCCUUUAUUAUCCCUGAAGGAAUCCUCUGUUUUGUCGGGGCUUCGCAAAAGUGACCUCCUAAUGAUUGGCCUUUCUAUACUGUAAUCUUGAAUCUGUAAAAGAAGACCAGCCCUCUCUUAUUACCCUGAAAUUUAGUUCUUCCUGGCAAGUUGGGAUAAAGGCUGAAUUCCUGAGUUUCCAAGGGUAACCCUGGUCUUUAGGAGGCUGUAGAAUGAACGCGACUGGGGAGCUUGAGGGUCUCCAGAGGAAACUUCAUUUCCUCCACUUUCCCCUGAGAUCACCCCACUUUUUGGGAAACCAGCCAGAGGGACACACGUGUUCUCGAAAGUUCCCGAGUGCGAGCAUUUGUGGCAGGCAGCUGCAGAGCCCCCAGAGCUUUCCACCGAAGCAGAGAGGAAGGGUGUUAGACUUGGUUCCUUCCUCCCCGGAUGCUUAGGGUCCUCAUUCUUUUGGAAUGGGGGGUGGGGGUGGAUCUUUGGGGUGGGACUCUCAUCUCAGGGCUCUUCGCUCUGGCUCUGCUUUGAAGGGACAAGCUCCCGUCAGUCUUCUUUCCAAAUGGCCAUGCGUUUUCCAGUCUUUACUUACUUUGCCCUGACUAACAACAGGCCAAAGGGUUAUCUGUCCAACAUUCACCUAAUGGUAGGAAAGCGUCACCGGUGGUUCAGUUUAUUACCCAGCUGACCCUCCGAGGGACAACCUUAAAGAGCUCAUUGUUCAGUUUGAAUGACUGAUGCUCGCAUACAGAAAGUGGAGUGGGAAGCGUCAGCCCAAAUGGAUGUGUGGAAGCAAACACUAAACCCCCUAUCCUGAUCACCUAUUGGUCUCCUGCCAUAUAUUGAUCCAUUAGCCUCAAACGCCUCUCGGAGAUGGGUAGCAUCGUCCUAUAGUUCUGAUGAGAUAACUGCACAGCCUAUCCAGGGCCACUCGGCUCUUACACUCAGGCCCUGUGUGAGCCACGCCUGCAUUCCACCUAGCACCGGGUACUGUUUGUUCUCUUACCAAGUGUUCUGUGAAACAGGAGUAUAGAGAAAUGGGGCUGUCAUGGUUACUAUAUAACAUUGUUGCUUUGGGAUUUCCCCCAUUUCACAUGUAACUAUUGAAACAAUAUUGUGUUAACUAUGUAUUAAAUAUAUUGCAUAGUAAAGAAAAUCUUCAUAGGAAAAAAUAUGCCUUAUAACCACAGCACCUUAAUUUAAUAAGUGCUUUUAUUUUUAAAUAUCUCCCUCAGAUCUUUGCCCCUAGGCGUUGGUAUUCCUGCAUAGGACUGAUCAGCACAGAUGCUAUUUCAUGCUUUCUUGUUUGACUUUAUAUGCAUUAUAAAUAUUUUUAUGAAGCCCUUACAUUUUCAGGGUUACAGACUGGAUCCUACCUCACUGGGUAAGUACAGCAUUUACUUAGCCAAUCUAACUCGUGUAGGCCUCAUCUGGAUAGAUAUACAUUUCUGCUAGAAAAAGAAAAACAAAGUGAGGCUAGAGAGUUGGCUUAGCAGUUAAAAGCACUGACUGCUCUUCCAGAAGUCCUGAGUUCAAAUCCUUAGCACCCACAUGGUGGCUCACAGGGUCUAUAACUGUAUUCCUCGGAAUCCUAUGUCUUCUUCUGGUGUGCAGAUGUACAUGAAAAUCAAACACCCAUAUACAUCAAAUACACAAGGAAAUAAAUCUUUUUUUUUUUAAGUGAGAUUCUCUGUGGAUUUUUCUUUUGACCCUCUUGUAAAUUCUUAAGAGAAACUCCUAGGGGUUGGCUACCUGACUCAAAAAGCUAGACAUUCUUUGUUUUUUGAGAUAGGGUUUCUCUGUGUAUCCCUGACUGUCCUGGAACUCACUAUAUAAGACCAGGCUGGCCUGGAACUGUAGAAAUCUGACUGCCUCUGCCUCUGCCUCUGCCUCUGCCUCUGCCUCUGCCUCUGCCUCUGCCUCUGCCUCUGCCUCUGCCUCUGCCUCUGCCUCUGCCUCUGCCUCUGCCUCUGCCUCUGCCUCUGCCUCUGCCUCUGCCUCUGCCUCUGCCUCUGCCUCUGCCUCUGCCUCUGCCUCUGCCUCUGCUGAAAUUAAAGUUGUAUGCUCCCACCACCUGGUAAAGCUGAGCAUUUGAUGGUACUUGACAUGCGUUGCUAAGUUGCUCUCUGGAAGACUGUACCAUCGGGAGGCCAAGGCCUUGUCAAUGCUGGGUGGUGCC
rnacentral:lncRNA from 1 species